rnacentral:rRNA from 1 species
UAAUACCGGAUGCUCCGCUCCAUCGCAUGGUGGGGUGGGAAAUGCUUUUGCGGCAUGGGAUGGGGUCGCGUCCUAUCAGCUUGUUGGCGGGGUGAUGGCCCACCAAGGCGUUGACGGGUAGCCGGCCUGAGAGGGUGACCGGCCACAUUGGGACUGAGAUACGGCCCAGACUCCUACGGGAGGCAGCAGUGGGGAAUAUUGCACAAUGGGCGCAAGCCUGAUGCAGCGACGCCGCGUGCGGGAUGGAGGCCUUCGGGUUGUAAACCGCUUUUGUUCAAGGGCAAGGCACGGUUUCGGCCGUGUUGAGUGGAUUGUUCGAAUAAGCACCGGCUAACUACGUGCCAGCAGCCGCGGUAAUACGUAGGGUGCGAGCGUUAUCCGGAUUUAUUGGGCGUAAAGGGCUCGUAGGCGGUUCGUCGCGUCCGGUGUGAAAGUCCAUCGCCUAACGGUGGAUCUGCGCCGGGUACGGGCGGGCUGGAGUGCGGUAGGGGAGACUGGAAUUCCCGGUGUAACGGUGGAAUGUGUAGAUAUCGGAAAAGAAACAC